GAGUUUGAUCUUGGCUCAGAUUGAACGCUGGCGGCAUGCCUUACACAUGCAAGUCGAACGGCAGCACGGGAGCUUGCUCCUGGUGGCGAGUGGCGAACGGGUGAGUAAUGCAUCGGAACGUAUCCUGGAGUGGGGGAUAACGUAGCGAAAGUUACGCUAAUACCGCAUAUUCUGUGAGCAGGAAAGCGGGGGACCUUCGGGCCUCGCGCUCUUGGAGCGGCCGAUGUCGGAUUAGCUAGUUGGUGAGGUAAAGGCUCACCAAGGCGACGAUCCGUAGCAGGUCUGAGAGGAUGAUCUGCCACACUGGAACUGAGACACGGUCCAGACUCCUACGGAGGCAGCAGUGGGGAUUUUGGACAAUGGGGGCAACCCUGAUCCAGCCAUGCCGCGUGAGUGAAGAAGGCC
rnacentral:rRNA from 1 species